CUGCAACUCGCCUGUAUGAAGUCGGAAUUGCUAGUAAUCGCGGAUCAGCAUGCCGCGGUGAAUACGUUCCUGGGGCCUUGUACACACCGCCCGUCACACCAUGAGAGCCGGGAACACCCGAAGUCCGUAGUCUAACCGCAAGGAGGACGCGGCCGAAGGUGGGUUUGGUAAUUGGGGUGAAGUCGUAACAAGGUAUC
rnacentral:rRNA from 1 species